GGGUGUUUUAUAAGUCUACCUGCCCACUGAAAUUUUUUGAAUGGCCGCAGUAUUUUGACUGUGCAAAGGUAGCAUAAUCAUUAGUUUUUUAAUUAAAAGCUUGUAUGAAAGGUUGGACGAGGUAAAAUCUGUCUCUAUUUAAUUUAAAUUAAAAUUUAAUUUUUAAGUUAAAAAGCUUAAAUGUUUAUAAAAGACGAGAAGACCCUAUAGAGCUUUAUAAUUUUUAUAAUAUAAUUAAUUAAGAUUUUUUUAGGUUUUAUUAUAUAAAUUAUUUUAUUGGGGUAAUAAAAAGAUUAAAAAAAUUCUUUUUGAUAAUUUACAUUAAUUUAUGGUUUAUUAAUGAUCCAGUUUUAUUGAUUAAAAGAUUAAGUUACCUUAGGGAUAACAGCGUAAUUUUUUUGGAGAGUUCAUAUCGAUAAAAAAGUUUGCGACCUCGAUGUUGGAUUAAAGAUUAAUUUAGGUGUAGAAGUUUAAAUUUUUGGUCUGUUCGACCAUUGAAUCUUUACGUGAUCUGAGUUCCCAACCGGGAA
rnacentral:rRNA from 1 species